CAGAGAAUUAUGAUGAUGUUAUUACCACUGGACCAAACCCAAACAUUACAGCAAUGGCCACACCAGAAGACUGUAAUGAUGCUGCAACAAACCCAAAUUUUACAGAAAUGGACACACCAGAGAACAGUGAUGACAUCAUCACUGCUGGACAGGACGUAGGAGGUGUAAAUG